UUUAGCGACUGCGGAUGACAUUACCGAGUGCGGGCCCCUCGGGGCCCAACCUCCCACCCGUGUUGCCCGAACCUAUGUUGCCUCGGCGGGCCCCGCGCCCGCCGACGGCCCCCCUGAACGCUGUCUGAAGUUGCAGUCUGAGACCUAUAACGAAAUUAGUUAAAACUUUCAACAACGGAUCUCUUGGUUCCGGCAUCGAUGAAGAACGCAGCGAAAUGCGAUAACUAAUGUGAAUUGCAGAAUUCAGUGAAUCAUCGAGUCUUUGAACGCACAUUGCGCCCUCUGGUAUUCCGGAGGGCAUGCCUGUCCGAGCGUCAUUGCUGCCCUCAAGCCCGGCUUGUGUGUUGGGCCCCGUCCCCCCCGCCGGGGGGACGGGCCCGAAAGGCAGCGGCGGCACCGCGUCCGGUCCUCGAGCGUAUGGGGCUUCGUCACCCGCUCUAGUAGGCCCGGCCGGCGCCAGCCGACCCCCAACCUUUAAUUAUCUCAGGUUGACCUCGGAUCAGGUAGGGAUACCCGCUGAACUUAAGCAUAUCAAAACCCGGAGGAA
rnacentral:rRNA from 1 species